rnacentral:lncRNA from 1 species
AAUUCAAGUAAAAGCUAGUGAAAACUAUUUCAAGCUUUAUAUUCAUAUUAUUCUUUAUUUUAACAUGUGACCUUUUACCUAUAACAAUUUCAUCGAAAUUGUCUCCAUCCAUGUAAUUCAUUAAAUUUUACAAAGGUAAACUGAAAUCUCUAGAGUUCUUGUUCAAUUCUUGAAACAAUAAAAAAAUUUAAGAAAAAAUGAUUUGUUUAUGUGGAUAUAUCUUUGACAGAUUUUAUAACAUAAUUUUUCCUUUGUGCAUUAAUUAUAAGUAUAUAAGUAUAUUUAUUUCUAUUAUAAGAGACUCAAAUUUAAUACUUUGCAAUUUUGUUCUUACUUAAAGAAUGUAAAAAAAAAUCAUAUACAAAGAGAUAUGAAGCCAUAAUUGCACCAACCAAAGGUCACUCUUUUAUUGAACUCAGAUAAAAUCGCAAAACCUGGAAAGAGAAUAUCCCCAAAGCCAAUCAAGCCAUAGCCAUAAUAAGGAUUAGAAGAUUAGAUAGUUGAGAACUCUUAGAAGCUACAAAAAAUUUAAAAAAAGAACUGAGUCAUAUUUCAUCCCAUACAGUUUAAAGAAAAACAUAUAUAGUAAAACUAUUUAAGAAAUAAAAGUUUAUCGCAAAGAACAAACAGAAGGGAACAUAAACAAAAUCCCAGAAUAUUGGAUACCAAUACAAGGAAUACCAACCAAAAAAUCUCAAAAAUAAGGAAGAGAUAAUCAAAUCACAAAAUCAGAGAGAGGCGAUUUACCUCUGGCAGUAAUAGAAAUAAGAGAAACAGAAACUGAAGGGAAAAAUUAAAAUACUGAAGAGCAAAGGAAGAAUUUUACCUUGGGCGAGGGGAGGAAGAAGAGGAGAAGAAGAAGACCCUGUAAGGGAAGAGAAGAUUUGCGAUAAGGAUUAAGAGAAGAGCCAUUUAAGAGCAGUAAAAGAAGCAAUCGUUUCUUUUAUAGGGAAAAUAAGCGAAUGUUAAGUUUUCUUUAUUGAAAAACUUUUUUUC